UUGACAACUGGAAGAGUUGAAAUUAAGGUUUUCAAUUUUCUUCAUUUAAUCUCAUUAUAUCCUUAAUUCAACGGCCAAGCCACCAACUUCAGAGCUUCAAAUUUGGUGGCCAUGGCCAUUCAAAUUAACAUUCAUUAACAUUAUCUACUUCCUCUUAUCAAAGUCAAAUAUAAUCUGAUAUAAUAUACACAUAUAUAUAUGUAUAUACUUACAUAAGAUUAGACCACGAGGAGGCUUUCCCUUUUACAUUUUUCAUUUUCUAUUCAUACGUUCUCAUAUAUACUCAAAGAUAAUGGAUGAUGUUUGCCCUGAAAGCGGGAAAAGUUCGUGGCCAGAAUUGGUUGGGAUGAAAGGAGAAGUUGCAGCAGCAAUCAUUAUGAGAGAAAACCCUAAAGUUCUGUGAUUGUGAAGGAAGGAAUGAUGGUAACCAUGGAUUUUCGUUGUGAUAGGGUCCGUGUCUGGGUUGAUCACCAUGGAUUUGUGAAACACACUCCUUUUCCUCAUAUUGGUUAAAUACUACAUCUAUCUUCUCCCAAACAAGACACAUAUAUCUAGCACCUUAAGUAUAUAUAAAUAUAUAUAUAUAUAUACAUAUAUUGAAUGUAUAUUCACCGUACCAACAAAUUUGAGUCUGGUUUGUGCAUUUAAGUUUACUUAAUUGUUCUCCAUCCAAAAGAGCGAAAAAAAAGUUCACUUAUUAUUAUAAAAUAUAGUUAUUAUGAUUUA